AGAAUGGUUUAACAAUUAUAAGCUUUCUUUAAUUAAAUAAUUGAAUUUAAUUUUUUUGUGAAGAAGCAAUAAUGUGAAUUAGGGACAAGAAGACCCUAUGAAUUUUGAUUUCAUAAUUUAAUAAUAUUUUUAUUUAUGAAAUUUGAUUGGGGCGAUAUAAAAAGAAUAUUUAUCUUUUUAUUUAAAAAUUAAUUUGAUCCGCUAUUAGCGAUUAUAUGAAAAAAAUACUCUAGGGAUAACAGCGUAAUAAUUUUGGAUAGUUCAUAUAGAUAAAAUAGUUUGCGACCUCGAUGUUGGAUUAGGAUUCUUUUUUGGUGAAGAAAUUAAAAUUAAGAAGUUUGUUCA
rnacentral:rRNA from 1 species